rnacentral:rRNA from 1 species
GACGAACGCUGGCGGCGUGCUUAACACAUGCAAGUCGAACGAGAGCGUAGAGAAAGCUUGCUUUUUCUACAAUCUAGUGGCAAACGGGUGAGUAACGCGUAAACAACCUGCCCUACGGAUGGGGACAACAGCUGGAAACGGCUGCUAAUACCGAAUACGUUCCGAAAGUCGCAUGACUAUCGGAAGAAAGGAUGGCCUCUAUUUAUAAGCUAUCGCCGGAGGAGGGGUUUGCGUCUGAUUAGCUAGUUGGGGGUAACGGCCCACCAAGGCGACGAUCAGUAGCCGGUCUGAGAGGAUGAACGGCCACAUUGGAACUGAGACACGGUCCAGACUCCUACGGGAGGCAGCAGUGGGGAAUCUUCCGCAAUGGGCGAAAGCCUGACGGAGCAACGCCGCGUGAGUGAAGACGGCCUUCGGGUUGUAAAGCUCUGUUAUACGGGACGAAUAAUCUUGUGGUUAAUACCCAUGAGAAGUGACGGUACCGUAAGAGAAAGCCACGGCUAACUACGUG